CGAAAGCCUGACGGAGCAAGACCGCGUGGGGGAGGAAUGCCUUAGGGUUGUAAACCCCUUUUAUCUGGGAAGAACAAAAUGACGGUACCAGAUGAAUAAGCCUCGGCUAACUCCGUGCCAGCAGCCGCGGUAAUACGGAGGAGGCAAGCGUUAUCCGGAAUUAUUGGGCGUAAAGCGUCCGCAGGUGGCGAUUCAAGUCUGCUGUCAAAGCACGGGGCUUAACUCCGUAAAGGCAGUGGAAACUGAAUAGCUAGAGUGCCGUAGGGGUAGAGGGAAUUCCCGGUGUAGCGGUGAAAUGCGUAGAUUUCGGGAAGAACACCAGUGGCGAAAGCGCUCUACUGGACCGCAACUGACACUCAGGGACGAAAGCUAGGGGAGCG
rnacentral:rRNA from 1 species